rnacentral:sRNA from 18 species
CAAAUAAACUGUUAGGUGAGGCUCCUACGUGAACACAAGCUAUCGCCCGGAAACAUCCAGAGAUGCCAACGAGUAAAAUAGUUCUUGUCGAGAUAAGGCGAGAUCCAGAUAGCUAGCCUGUGCUUACGUCACGUAGUGUCAAAACUGAACGACGAGGAAACAUC